rnacentral:rRNA from 1 species
UACGGGGGGGGGCAAGCGUUUGUUCGGAAUUACUGGGCGUAAAGGGUUCGUAGGUGGCCAACUAAGUCAGACGUGAAAUCCCUCAGCUUAACUGGGGAACUGCGUCUGAUACUGAUUGGCUUGAGUGCAGGAGAGGAACGCGGAAUUCCAGGUGUAGCGGUGAAAUGCGUAGAUAUCUGGAGGAACACCGGUGGCGAAGGCGGCGUUCUGGACUGCAACUGACACUGAGGAACGAAAGCCAGGGGAGCAAACGGA